GAUGAACGCUGGCGGCGUGCCUAAUACAUGCAAGUCGAGCGAACGGACGAGAAGCUUGCUUCUCUGAUGUUAGCGGCGGACGGGUGAGUAACACGUGGAUAACCUACCUAUAAGGCUGGGAUAACUUCGGGAAACCGUAGCUAAUACCGGAUAAUAUUUUGAACCGCAUGGUUCAAAAGUGAAAGACGGUCUUGCUGUCACUUAUAGAUGGAUCCGCGCUGCAUUAGCUAGUUGGUAAGGUAACGGCUUACCAAGGCAACGAUGCAUAGCCGACCUGAGAGGGUGAUCGGCCACACUGGAACUGAGACACGGUCCAGACUCCUACGGGAGGCAGCAGUAGGGAAUCUUCCGCAAUGGGCGAAAGCCUGACGGAGCAACGCCGCGUGAGUGAUGAAGGUCUUCGGAUCGUAAAACUCUGUUAUUAGGGAAGAACAUAUGUGUAAGUAACUGUGCACAUCUUGACGGUACCUAAUCAGAAGGCCACGGCUAACUACGUG
rnacentral:rRNA from 1 species